rnacentral:lncRNA from 1 species
UUUCGAUGAGGUUGGCGUCUGAGAUGACGAUGGUGGUCCAGUGAGUGGCGCCAAGGGAGAUGUCGAACUUGGGGUACACGUUGUUGUUGUCGAAGUUGCCGUAGAGGAAAGUGGCUCUGAUGAGGUAACGGUUACGGCUUGUGACGUUGAGUGUGUAACAGUAUUUUCUUGAAUCCUCGGCGGGGAAGUGUCUUAAGGUUGUGUACUGUGUUUUGGUUUGGUUUGGGGAAGAGAUGGUGGCGGUUGUGCCGAAGAGGAGGUGAGUGUCUGGUGACCAUUUGAGUCCGAGUUCGUCGGUGAAUGGCUCUGCGCCUCCACAGUCCAAGCUCACAAAACCUGCUCUUAUCAACAAGAACAAGAACAAAUAAAGUUUCAUACUUUAUGAUAGAAUUGACUUCAAAUCCAACAAAGACUCAAUCUUUAUCUCUACUUGAAUUCAACUAAACAUACAAACACCAAAGCUCUUGAGAUUUGUGAUUCAAAGGAAAGUUUUUUCUAAGACCCUUGUUAUGUUUCGAUCCAUUACAAGUAGGAAUACAUAAGAAAGUGCUCCAAAAAAAGACAAUUACCUGGAGAUUGGGCAGAUGAAGAAGUGAAGAGAGAAAUGGAAACUAGCAGACAGAACAGAAGCAGUGUCUCUCUCACCAUCUCCCUGCUCUGAAGAACACACUUUUGCAACAGUUUUACAUAAAAAAUGGCGAUAAAUAAAGAAAAAAAGAAUGUGAUUUCAGAAAAGUGGAAGAAAAAAAAAGAAUGUGGUCUCAGAGACAGAACCUGAAGUUAAACUACUUCUCUAACUUGUCUUAAAAUUCUUAAGAGAGGGAACUAAUGAUAAACGAGAAAACGAGUGUGGAAGCGUGAGGAGAUGAGUUUUGUUUGUGUUUUUGCUUUUUCUUAUGCGAGGAGCUUGCAUUAGCAGUGGGAGGAGAAAGAGAUAGAGGUUAAAGGUGGAAUGUGGGGUCCAUCUUGGACCUUACUCUCUACUAGCUUCGAGUAUUAAGCUACAUCUAACGGUUCGUAUGGUUUUAACCUUUAAUCUAAUGGUCCAGAUCUUGCGCAAUUAAUGUGUGGUCAACUUUCCAUGUUGUAGAGGAUUAUCAAUCAUAAACGGUGUCGUUAUGUUUCCGGAUUUUAAUAAACGACAUUCUCUAAAUCUCUGCGGUUUUUAAAUCAUGAGAUCUGUUUUUAGAAAAAAAUAUAGUGUUUUAUUUAACCAGGGAAGAUAAUAAUAUUCUAAAACUACGUGAUUCGGGUUUAUCAUACGCUAAAAAUGAAUGUGAUCGAUAUCUUGAUUACCUCGAAAUUCAGUUUUUAUUCAGAUAUACUUGACUUUAUUCUUUAUUUGAUUUUGGUCAAGAUACUUGACUAAUUUUACCAACAGAUAGAUAGAAAUGUAAGAUUUUGUUUGAAUAAAUUUAAAAUUCUUAAAAUAAUAUUUGAUGUUAUCUCUAUAUGAUAUUUAGGUAAAUUACAUGUUUACCAUUUUCAUGGUACCACUUUUCAUUUUUAUCACCACUAAAGAGACAUUUUCAAAAAUACCUUAUUCAUUAAGUGCCAAAAGACUUUUAUGUCAUUAUUAUUUAUAUAUAUAAUAAAUUAUUAUUUAAAUAAAAAAUUAAAAAAAAAAUUAAAAAAUUAAAAAAAUAAAAAAAAAUUAAAAAAAUAAAUGUUUUUGAAUUAUACUUUUUCAAAUUCGAACUUUUUUAUAAUUUUUUUAUUACAUUUUUUCCGAAUUUUUCCGAAUUUUUUUAAUUUUUUUUUUCAAAUUUCUUUUUGGAAAAUGUAGUGGCGUUUGACAGACAAACGCUAACGCUAGGAGAUAAAGCGAGGAACACAAGCUCUGCCUUUUCGAUGAGGUUGGCGUCUGAGAUGACGAUGGUGGUCCAGUGAGUGGCGCCAAGGGAGAUGUCGAACUUGGGGUACACGUUGUUGUUGUCGAAGUUGCCGUAGAGGAAAGUGGCUCUGAUGAGGUAACGGUUACGGCUUGUGACGUUGAGUGUGUAACAGUAUUUUCUUGAAUCCUCGGCGGGGAAGUGUCUUAAGGUUGUGUACUGUGUUUUGGUUUGGUUUGGGGAAGAGAUGGUGGCGGUUGUGCCGAAGAGGAGGUGAGUGUCUGGUGACCAUUUGAGUCCGAGUUCGUCGGUGAAUGGCUCUGCGCCUCCACAGUCCAAGCUCACAAAACCUG